ACCUCGAUGUUGGAUCAGGGUAUCCUAGUGGUGCAGCCGCUACUGAUGNGUUCGUUUGUUCAACGAUUAAAACCCUACGUGAUCUGAGUUCNAGACCGGAGUAAUCCAGGUCAGUUUCUAUCUAUANAAGAGNCUUUUUCUAGUACGAAAGGACCGAAAAAACAUGGCCAAUGAAUUAUUNAAGCCAUNAUAAACANNACUAAUGUCAACAACUAAAUUAGUAACUAACCUAACAUANCUCUCUCAAAAUAAGAGAAGUUAACGUAGCAAAACCUGGCCCUGCAA
rnacentral:rRNA from 1 species